GAAAUGCGAUAAUUAAUGUGAAUUGCAGAAUUCAGUGAAUCAUCGAGUCUUUGAACGCACAUUGCGCCCCCUGGUAUUCCGGGGGACAUGCCUGUCCGAGCGUCAUUGCUGCCCUCAAGCACGGCUUGUGUGUUGGGCUUCCGUCCCUGGCAACGGGGACGGGCCCAAAAGGCAGUGGCGGCACCAUGUCUGGUCCUCGAGCGUAUGGGGCUUUGUCACCCGCUCCCGUAGGUCCAGCUGGCAGCUAGCCUCGCAACCAAUCUUUUUAACCAGGUUGACCUCGGAUCAGGUAGGGAUAUCCGCUGAACUUAAGC
rnacentral:misc_RNA from 1 species